rnacentral:rRNA from 1 species
AUUGAACGCUGGCGGCAUGCUUUAUACAUGCAAGUCGUGCGGCAGCGCGGGGGCAACUCUGGCGGCGAGUCGGCGAACGGGUGAGUAAUACAUAGGAACGUAUCCUGAAAUGGGGGAUAGGCUCGGCGAAAGCCGGAUUAAUACCGCAUACGCUCCACGGAGGAAAGCAGGGGAUCGCAAGACCUUGCGUUUCUGGAGCGGCCUAUGUCUGAUUAGCUAGUGGCGGGGUAAUAGCCCACCAAGGCGACGAUCAGUAGCUGGUCUGAGAGGAUGAUCAGCCACACUGGGACUGAGACACGGCCCAGACUCCUACGGGAGGCAGCAGUAGGGAAUUUUGGACAA